GCUGACCACUUCUCACUGAGCUGUUCAACCACAGAGGUUCUGGGACUCUCUUUAAAAAACUGAGAUCACAUACACCUGCACCUCGCUCACCUGCCUCUCAGCACUUUUCCAUUCACUCUUCACUCACCUGCCAGCCGCACCCCCCUCAUCAGACCAACUCCCCUCACCUGCUUGACUCACCUGGUUCCCAUCACCAAUCAAGCCAGUACUACUGGUGGCUCGGUUCUGGUUAGUCUGCUUCAUCGCCUGUUUACCUGCUUGCGGGACUGGUUUCCCCAGCCAGAGCCCCCGGACUUGCCCCGUGCCCAGAGAGACUAUUUCAAGUGUUGCUUUGAACUGUGCUACUUCUCGUCUACCAGCCAAGUGUAAUAAAAGUGACUCAUUUAUUACCUUUGUCCAGUGUGCUGCAUUUGGUUUCUUACUACACCCGUUACAAUAGAUAGAUAAAGAUAAAAAAUAACCUUUACCUGUCCCUGGGCUUGGGGCUUUGUACUUUGUAGUUCUGACUUUUCAUGCUUUUCUCGGCAUUCGGCCAAUAUACACAGAAAGCUGCAACACUUCUGAGUGUUCCUGGGAAUGGUUUUGGUUUACCGGAACAAAGAAAUGUCGACAUGCCCAGUUUAGUUUAGGGCAUGGCAGGUUAAUAUAAAGGCAGACAAUCUAAAGUGAUAAAAUAGUUCCUUAAAAAAAACAAGGGCUUGAAGGACCACUGGUAAAAUCCAUCAUAAGACAUCAAACAUUAUGGAGGGGAAUGCAGCUGCUCCUAAGAAAGCCAUCCACCAGUCCCAGUCUCUGUGCGCUGGUGAAAAGGAGUAUGUUCAGAAGAGGAAACAAAAAGUUAUGAAGAGACUCAACAGCCUGGGGGUCGACUGUACCGCAGUAAGAAAGAA